GCGGUUUUGGUUCUGGCUUUGGCUUUGGUUUCGGUUUCGGUUUGUAGAUUGGUACGGGUGGUGGAAGCGGUUUCGGUUUCGGUUUUGGUUUGUAGAUUGGGACGGGUGGUGGAAGCGGUUUAGGUUUUGGCUUUGGCUUUGGCUUGUAGAUUGGGACAGGUGGUGGGAGCGGUUUAGGUUUGUAGAUUGGGAUGGGUGGUGGAAGCGGUUUUGGUUUUGGCUUUGGUUUGUAGAUUGGGACAGGUGGUGGAAGCGGUUUUGGUUUUGGCUCUGGCUUGUAGAUUGGGACAGGUGGUGGUUUUGGUUUUGGUUUAUAGAUUGGGACAGGUGGCGGAAGCAUCACUGGUGGCUUUGGUUUUGGUUCGUAGAUUGGGACGGGUGGCGGAAGCGACACCGGUGGCUUUGGUUUUGGUUUUGGUUCGUAGAUUGGGACAGGUGGCGGAAGUGUCACUGGUGGCUUUGGUUUUGGUUCGUAGAUUGGGACGGGUGGCGGAAGCGACACCGGUGGCUUUGGUUUUGGUUUUGGUUCGUAGAUUGGGACAGGUGGCGGAAGCGUCACUGGUGGCUUUGGUUUUGGUUCGUAGAUUGGGACGGGUGGCGGAAGUGACACUGGUGGCUUUGGUUUUGGUUCGUAGAUUGGGACGGGUGGCGGAAGUGACACUGGUGGCUUUGGUUUUGGUUCGUAGAUUGGGACGGGCGGUGGAAGCGACACCGGUGGCUUUGGUUUUGGUUUGGGUUCGUAGAUUGGGACAGGUGGCGGAAGUGUCACCGGUGGUUCAAUAACAGGAACAGGUGGCGGAAGUGUUACCGGUGGCUCAAUAACCGGCACAGGUGGUGGAAAAGGAUAGGGGUGGUGAAAGUGUUUGUACCAAGGGUGAGAUUUGACCCAAGGGGGUAGUGUGGGAAGAG
rnacentral:lncRNA from 1 species